rnacentral:rRNA from 1 species
CCGGCGCACGGGUGAGUAACGCGUAUGCAACUUACCUAUCAGGAGGGGAUAACCCGGCGAAAGUCGGACUAAUACCGCAUGAAGCAGGGGCCCCGCAUGGGGAUAUUUGCUAAAGAUUCAUCGCUGAUAGAUAGGCAUGCGUUCCAUUAGGCAGUUGGCGGGGUGACGGCCCACCAAACCGACGAUGGAUAGGGGUUCUGAGAGGAAGGUCCCCCACAUUGGUACUGAGACACGGACCAA